GCAACUCCAUCAAAGAAGCCGUCGCGAAUGAGUUGCCCUGCCUCUGCACUCUCUACAAUACUCCUGGCUUGUUGUCUUCUUUCAACGUCUCCCUCGAAGAUGCUCUCAGGCUCACCCGGAAUUGCAACGUUCCCUCUGAUCUCAGCUCCUGCAAAAGUAAGCAAACAUUAAAAAAAAAAAAUUAAUAAUAAUAAUAAAAUUACGGUUCCAAAUUUUGAUUUUGAUUUUGAAAAAAAUCUCAAAAGUCAUCUAAACCGCUAGAUUUGUUUAGAUUUCGUAAUUGACGGCCAAAGCAGCAUUUGGUAGCUUAAUAAUCUGCUACAAUCUCUUUUGUCGUUGGCAAUUUAGUUUGGUUUUUUAAUUUUCUUUCGAUCUAUCGAGGAAUCAUAUUUCUCUCUUUUCG
rnacentral:lncRNA from 1 species